GUGGUUAGUCUAUACGAGCGCACCCUAUUCUUAGUUGCCAGCGGUUCGGCCGGGGACUCUAAGAAAACUGCCAGUGCAAGCUGUGAGGAAGGUGGGGAUGACGUCAAAUCAUCACGGCCCUUACGACCUGGGCCACACACGUGCUACAAUGGUAGGUACAAAGGGCAGCCACUUGGCAACAAGGAGCUAAUCUCUAAAACCUAUCUCAGUUCGGAUUGGAGUCUGAAACUCGACUCUAUGAAGCUGGAAUCGCUAGUAAUCGCGCAUCAGCCAUGGCGCGGUGAAUACGUUCCCGGGCCUUGUACACACCGCCCGUCAAGCCAUGGAAGCUGGGAGUACCUGAAGUCGGUAACCAUUUAGGAGCUGCCUAGGGUAAAACUAGUAACUGGGGCUAAGUCGUAACAAGGUAGCCGUACCGGAAGGUGUGGCUGGAACACCUCCUUUCU
rnacentral:rRNA from 1 species